GUCGCACAGCAGCGCAGUCGCUUCUUUUAUUUCUUAUUAUAUAUUUUAUUCAAGCAGCAGUUGAUCAAUGCUCUUAAAAUUGUGCUAUCAUCUUUAGAGACUGAUUUACAUCCACACAUCUGCAUCCGGGAGGCUCUGGAAUUAAAUAGUCAUGACUGCUUUACAGUUCAAGAGAUAGAUACUCGGAGAUGGAGCAAAAGAUUUACCAGUGAUCCUCUGAACAACUUUAUGUAUCUCUUUCCAAGAGAGUGUUUGUGUUUGUUGAUGAAGAGGAGCUGUUCAGUGUGAUGAAGGAUGCUGACUGUCUCUACUGCAGGAAUCCAGUCACUGCGUCCAAACAUCACCUCAGAAAGAGACAUCUCAGAUUCGCUAUAUAUUAUAAAGACUCUGCCAUUGGGAAGUUUUCUAUCCCCUGUUAUUGCUCUGAUGGAGGCCAUGGCAGGAGCCACUGGCACUGCCCAAUGUGCGCAAAAAUAUUGCAAAGAACAAAGGAUUUCAAAAUCCAUAUUACCAACCACGGUGUUGAGAUGACAGACAAAUCCACAGGUGAGCAGCGGCAUUUAAUCAUUUUCAGUAGCGCUCAUCCACUGAUCAAAUGAACACCACAGCAGCUGCCCAGUCAGUCAGUGACAGUUUUGUAUGACGGCGCCUCCUAAAGGUGUGGACACAUACCAUUGUUCUGUGAAUUUUCACAGAUGCUGUUCAGUAGAAUACACACAGUCUGAUUUUCACGAGGGUAAACUAUUUCUCCACGCAGUUUCUGCAGCGCACAUGGCUGUUUAUGUAUUUAUUUUCUAGUGAUUCUGAAGGCCAUGAUCAGCUGGUUCAAGUGUGUUUGAUUGAUUGUUGUAGCUCACCUCUGCAAGACAACGGGUCUCCAGGAGCAAGGUUAAAGACCUCGGACAGGGGUGUCCAAUCCUGCUCUUGGAUCUUGCAGACUUUAGCUCCAUCCGUCUCCAGCACACUUGAAUGGAAGUUUCUAGCACAUUCUGAAGACCUGGGCUGUGUUGCCCCCAUCCCCUUAUUUAGGGCACUAUUUGAGAGAACAGCCAUUUGAAGUGUUGUCCGAAAAUACUCAUUCAAUACCAUAAUGCACCUCGGUAAUGAGUCUACAACCGAUGAACUCUCAGCGGCUAGAGAAUACCCAUAAUGCACUGUAAGGGUCAUGCUGAAUGAACUCCCAUGUCUCGUCAGAAGAUGGCGCCUGCAGUUGAAUCAUCAGUCCAUUCUUUUUCCAAACCGCUGGUCCAAUGUGGUUACAGAGUACUAUCAUACAGUUGAGCUACAACCUACAAUGGUCCUGUCGGAGAACCAACAAACAGACAACGAAGACAAGACACCGGGCAACAAGUCAGCGUGCCAGAAGUGUGGCAUCUUCUUUACCACCACAUCAAAUUUGAGACGGCAUGAGAGACUACAGCACGGCCAAGACCAGCAGCCCAUGUUAUGCGUAGAUGCCAAAAAUGCAAUCUAUGUUACACCCAAGGAUCUGCACGGACCUAGAGUGCCCAUUCAUAUCCGUAAAUCCUUCACCUUGCAGAUUCUGCUGUGUGAACUGGAGGAAUGCUGGGAUUUCAUGAAAGCGCUGGCCCAGAGCGGGAAUCCUGGGAAGGAAUGCCGUCACCUCGUGAGAACGAAUCACGCGCAGCACUACGUCCCUCCUCCACCGCUGAGCAUCAGCUCUCUGGAGGAGAUGAGCCACAAACACCUCCUGUCCGCAUCUGAGAAACACGCGUGCCAGGAGAUGAACUCCAGGGCAUGUUUAGAGGGAGUCGAUUGUGUCUACCCUAUUUUUUGGGGGAAGCAUGACCUUUCAGAGAGAUGUGUCUACUUUUCUGUGUACACUGACCUCAAGGACAAAUGGUGUCAGUUUGGGAGGACACGCGUCUCGUUUGACACCAAGUCUGGCAGCUGGAAGUGUCUGUGUGAACACAAAAGAAUCCCUUGCAUCCACAAGCGUUUAUCUAUGUGGUGGUUGUUUCAGGAGCAUCCCAAAUUGUUGCAGAACCCCCUGGAUGUCCACGCUGAAAGAGUCGACGUGCUUGAGGAAGUGGUCAUGGAUAAAAUGUCUCCUGAUGGUGAUGACCUCUGCUAGCCUCAACAUCCCUCUCAUGUUCUGUCUUCACCCAAUAAAAACACUUGCCAUACACUUGAUUUUGCCUUGUAAUUUCUUAGUUGAUUUGCAAAAAUUCAUGUGCUGUGCUAUGUUUACAGUGUUGGGGGAAACGCAUUACAAGUAACACUAAUUACGUAACUAGUAACGUAUUACUUUUACAUUUGCAAUGAAAUAUCGGAGUUACUUUGUCAAAUAAGUAAUGAAAGUUAUUUUGUUACUUUGCACUCAACUUCUGUCUCCGUGUUGAGAGAAAUCAGUGGCACUUCCUUCAGCCUGAGGCUUAUUAUUUUUUACAGUUGCCAUUACAGUACAGGUGACCAAAAGUAAUGCAAAAGUAACGUAAUGCAUUACUUUCCAUGAAAAGUAACUAAGUAACGCAGUUAGAUUUU
ensembl:lncRNA